CAGCCGCCGCGGUAAUACGUAGGUGGCAAGCGUUGUCCAGAAUUAUUGGGCGUAAAGGGCUCGCAGGCGGUUUCUUAAGUCUGAUGUGAAAGCCCCCGGCUCAACCGGGGAGGGUCAUUGGAAACUGGGAAACUUGAAUGCAGAAGAGGAGAGUGGAAUUCCACGUGUAGCGGUGAAAUGCGUAGAGGUGUGGAGGAACACCAGUGGCGAAGGCGACUCUCUGGUCUGUAACUGACGCUGAGGAGCGAAAGCGUGGGGAGCGAACAGGAUUAGAUACCCCAGUAGUCCCUGUCUCUUAUAA
rnacentral:rRNA from 1 species